AUUGAACGCUGGCGGCAGGCUUAACACAUGCAAGUCGAGCGGGGUGAUGGUGCUUGCACUAUCACUUAGCGGCGGACGGGUGAGUAAUGCUUAGGAAUCUGCCUAUUAGUGGGGGACAACAUCUCGAAAGGGAUGCUAAUACCGCAUACGUCCUACGGGAGAAAGCAGGGGAUCACUUGUGACCUUGCGCUAAUCGAUGAGCCUAAGUCGGAUUAGCUAGUUGGUGGGGUAAAGGCCUACCAAGGCGACGAUCUGUAGCGGGUCUGAGAGGACGAUCGGCCACACUGGGACUGAGACACGGCCCAGACUCCUACGGGAGGCAGCAGUGGGGAAUAUUGGACAAUGGGGGGAACCCUGAUCCAGCCAUGCCGCGUGUGUGAAGAAGGCCUUAUGGUUGUAAAGCACUUUAAGCGAGGAGGAGGCUCUUUUGGUUAAUACCCAAGAUGAGUGGACGUUACUCGCAGAAUAAGCACCGGCUAACUCUGUGCCAGCCGCCGCAGUAA
rnacentral:rRNA from 1 species